rnacentral:rRNA from 1 species
AUACGGAGGGUGCAAGCGUUAUCCGGAUUUAUUGGGUUUAAAGGGUGCGUAGGCGGUUUGAUAAGUCAGCGGUGAAAUAUUUCAGCUUAACUGGAAGGGUGCCGUUGAUACUGUCGAGCUUGAAUUUAGUUGCUGUGGGUGGAAUGUGUGGUGUAGCGGUGAAAUGCAUAGAUAUCACACAGAAUAUCGAUUGCGAAGGCAGCUCACAAAGCUAAUAUUGACGCUGAUGCACGAAAGUGUGGGGAUCAAACAGGAUUAGAUUCCCUGGUAGUCCACACUGUAAACGAUGAUAACUCGCUGUCGGCGAUACAUAGUCGGUGGCCAAGCGAAAGCGAUAAGUUAUCCACCUGGGGAGUACGACCGCAAGGUUGAAACUCAAAUGAAUUGACGGGG